CGAAGGGGGCUAGCGUUGUUCGGAAUUACUGGGCGUAAAGCGCGUGUAGGCGGUUGUCCAAGUUGGAUGUGAAAGCCUUGAGCUCAACUCAAGAAUGCAUUCAGGACUGGAUGACUAGAGGACCGGAGAGGAUAGUGGAAUUCCCAGUGUAGUGGUGAAAUACGUAGAGAUUGGGAAGAACACCAGUGGCGAAGGCGGCUAUCUGGACGGUUUCUGACGCUAAGACGCGAAAGCGUGGGGAGCAAACAGGAUUAGAUACCCUGGUAGUCCACGCCGUAAACGAUGGGUGCUAGACGUUGGCGGGCUUGCUCGUCAGUGUCGCAGCUAACGCGUUAAGCACCCCGCCUGGGGAGUACGGCCGCAAGGUUG
rnacentral:rRNA from 1 species